ACUCUUGUGGCACAGUGGUUAAGUGCUAUGGCUGCUAACCAAAGGGUUGGCAGUUCGAAUCUGCCAGGGUG
rfam:Loxodonta africana unplaced genomic scaffold scaffold_14, whole genome shotgun sequence.